AACGCGGUGCCUCUAAGAUCUUUGUGAGAGUUGCUGGGUCCGUGUCUUUGCUCCAACCGGAGGGCCAGAGCAGCUCUCACGUGCAGUAAGAGUUGCUGGUACAGACCGGUCCACAGCAGAGCCACUCAUUUACUCGAAAACAGCAACCAUUUGCCAGGACUUUGUGUGCCGGCUUUUUGAAUUGGGACCAGAAUAUUUUCUUAGAGAAAAUGAGUUUCCAUGGCCAUGAUUCAUUCAGAUGGAGUCAGUGAGCAAGUUUUUGCACCGCGGUCCUCAAUCGAAAGUCAAGCUUUGGAAGAGGAAAUGCAGACUAACUUUCCCAUAUUUGGAGAGCUAUUUGCUGAGAAUUCCCAGUCCAUUAUCAUGGAGCAAUAUUUCUCCAUCUUUCCUCAAGGAUUCCUUACACUUCAAAGAAGACUUGUAGACAGCUGGCAGGAGGACUAGGUUCCAGAUGGGGAUGUUAUCUGCAUUCACUGUGCUCACCUCCGGAAAUGCUCACAUUUUAAAAUUUCAGCUUCAUGCUCCCUUUGAGGUGUGGAGUGUAUACUUCAGAGAGUGCACCUCAUAAAUGCGGCCACAGACUAGUACCCCCAGCACUGUGGGCUCCUUCAAUUCUGUCCUUAAAAUGACAAAAAGUCACAAGCAGACCUUCUGGUUAUGAAUAGCUAGGGCAGCAGCGUUUCCAGAACAGAAGGUGUAUUUCUUCUAAGAACAGCCUUUUCUUGCUUUUAAAUAAUUUUGUAAGGUUUGACUACUGUCAUUUCAAGGAAGUGUCCAUGUUGAUGGGCACUUCAGUGAAAUAUAGUUUCUCCUUCAUAUAUGAGUUCCACUGGGUCAGAGGAAAUGAAAGGUCAAGUUUUAAAAUAUCAUUUGUGUUGUUUUUUAUAAUUUUUUCUUCAUUUAUCUUUUACUUGUUUCAAAAAUGACAGUUAUUAAUGACAAAGCACUAAUUAAAAAACAUUAAAACAUGUUUUAAAAAAUGUUUAUUGUUAAAGUUAUAUGAAAAUUUAUGUAAGUUACAAAAGUAAUGACACUCUUG